rnacentral:misc_RNA from 1 species
GGCUGGACUCGUACUUCGGUACUGGAGAAACAGCC